rnacentral:rRNA from 1 species
GACGAACGCUGGCGGCGUGCUUAACACAUGCAAGUCGAACGGAAAGGCCCUGCUUUUGUGGGGUGCUCGAGUGGCGAACGGGUGAGUAACACGUGAGUAACCUGCCCUUGACUUUGGGAUAACUUCAGGAAACUGGGGCUAAUAUCGGAUAGGAGCUCCUGCUGCAUGGUGGGGGUUGGAAAGAUUCGGCGGUUGGGGAUGGACUCGCGGCUUAUCAGCUUGUUGGUGGGGUAGUGGCUUACCAAGGCUUUGACGGGUAGCCGGCCUGAGAGGGUGACCGGCCACAAUGGGACUGAGGUACGGCCCAGACUCCUACGGGAGGCAGCGGUGGAGAAUAUUGCACAGUGGGCGGGAGCCUGAUACAGCGGCCCCGGGUGCGGAAUGCCCUCUUUCGGGUUAUGAACCGCUUUCGACUGUGACGUAGCGGGAGUGACGGUAAUGAGUAAGAAAGCACCGGCUAACUACGUG